rnacentral:rRNA from 1 species
UACGAAGGGGGCUAGCGUUGCUCGGAAUCACUGGGCGUAAAGCGCACGUAGGCGGACUCUUAAGUCGGUGGUGAAAUCCUGGAGCUCAACUCCAGAACUGCCUUCGAUACUGGGAGUCUCGAGUCCGGGAGAGGUGAGUGGAACUGCGAGUGUAGAGGUGGAAUUCGUAGAUAUUCGCAAGAACACCAGUGGCGAAGGCGGCUCACUGGCCCGGUACUGACGCUGAGGUGCGAAAGCGUGGGGAGCAAACAGG